UGUCAAAUCGUACACUUUUGCCUAACCGGUUACUCGGAUAAUCGUUUGACCGAUUAACCGGUUAACCGGUAAUUUAAGUUGGUGUUUGAAAGCCUUAUCAAUAGAACCGUACACAUAGAUAUAAGAUGUGGUAUGAGUGUCAAUUUGACAACAAGUCAUAAAUACGCUUUUAGAAUUGAAGUUUUUCCUUUAGCAUUAUAAGGCUUGUCUGUGAGGAUUCCUG
rnacentral:lncRNA from 1 species